CCUGCCAUGGGAGAACACAUCAUGCCAUCACAAAUGGGUCCUUCGGAUUUCUCAGAGAUUUUCCUCUGUGGAUAAUAAUUUCUGCCUUUAUUAUGUUUCUGUUUAAUGAAACACAGAUACUGCACUUUCAAGCUGUCACUUAUAGAUGACACCUACAUCACAUUAGGUGGUUCUGCCCUACAAAAUCACUUUUUGCUCUUCACAGGAUCUGACUGUGAUGCAGGGGUCAUUCUACAGACCUCCUUAUCCUUAUACUAAGGAUAUUUUAUCCUUAUACUAAGGAUAAAAGUGAGCAAAGACAGCCAGGGGAAAAAGGAUCAGACUGAAUGAGAUGUCUUAACACUGGAAAUGGUAAAAAUUGUAGCUGAGCAUUUGGAGACAGUAGUGAAUAUGCAAACUUUGAAGGCAAUGCUACAAAAGAAGAAUUUGUCAAAAAUAAAGACAAAAAUAAAUGCAUAA